rnacentral:rRNA from 1 species
UACGUAGGGUGCAAGCGUUGUCCGGAAUUAUUGGGCGUAAAGAGCUCGUAGGCGGUUCGUCGCGUCGGCUGUGAAAUCCCGAGGCUCAACCUCGGGUCUGCAGUCGAUACGGGCGGACUAGAGUUCGGUAGGGGAGACUGGAAUUCCUGGUGUAGCGGUGAAAUGCGCAGAUAUCAGGAGGAACACCGGUGGCGAAGGCGGGUCUCUGGGCCGAUACUGACGCUGAGGAGCGAAAGCGUGGGGAGCGAACAGG